CCAGCAGCCGCGGUAAUACGUAGGGUGCGAGCGUUGUCCGGGAUUAUUGGGCGUAAAGAGCUCGUAGGCGGUCUGUCGCGUCUGCUGUGAAAACCCGAGGCUCAACCUCGGGCCUGCAGUGGGUACGGGCAGACUAGAGUGCGGUAGGGGAGAAUGGAAUUCCUGGUGUAGCGGUGGAAUGCGCAGAUAUCAGGAGGAACACCGAUGGCGAAGGCAGUUCUCUGGGCCGUAACUGACGCUGAGGAGCGAAAGCGUGGGGAGCGAACAGGAUUAGAUACCCUGGUAGUCCACGCCGUAAACGUUGGGCGCUAGAUGUGGGGACCAUUCCAGUUUCCGUGUCGCAGCUAACGCAUUAAGCGCCCCGCCUGGGGAGUACGGCCGCAAGGCUAAAACUCAAAGGAAUUGACGGGGGCCCGCACAAGCGGCGGAGCAUGCGGAUUAAUUCGAUGCAACGCGAAGAACCUUACCAAGGCUUGACAUAUAGAGAACGGGCUAGAAAUAGUCAANNCUCUUUGGACACUCGUAAACAGGUGGUGCAUGGUUGUCGUCAGCUCGUGUCGUGAGAUGUUGGGUUAAGUCCCGCAACGAGCGCAACCCUCGUUCUAUGUUGCCAGCACGUAAUGGUGGGAACUCAUAGGAGACUGCCGGGGUCAACUCGGAGGAAGGUGGGGAUGACGUCAAAUCAUCAUGCCCCUUAUGUCUUGGGCUUCACGCAUGCUACAAUGGCCGGUACAAAGGGCUGCAAUACCGCAAGGUGGAGCGAAUCCCAAAAAGCCGGUCUCAGUUCGGAUUGAGGUCUGCAACUCGACCUCAUGAAGUCGGAGUCGCUAGUAAUCGCAGAUCAGAACGCUGCGGUGAAUACGUUCCCGGGCCUUGUACACACCGCCCGUCAAGUCAUGAAAGUCGGUAACACCCGAAGCCGGUGGCC
rnacentral:rRNA from 1 species